UACGGGGGGGGCAAGCGUUGUUCGGAAUUACUGGGCGUAAAGGGCUCGUAGGCGGCCAACUAAGUCGGAUGUGAAAUCCCCAGGCUUAACUUGGGAACUGCAUCCGAUACUGGAUGGCUUGAAUCCGGGAGAGGGAUGCGGAAUUCCAGGUGUAGCGGUGAAAUGCGUAGAUAUCUGGAGGAACACCGGUGGCGAAGGCGGCAUCCUGGACCGGCA
rnacentral:rRNA from 1 species